AGGGGACAGUGGCACAGCCACGGUAGGACCAGGUGUCAACCUUGUUGCCAGCUGCACCAGUAUAGGGGACAGUGGCACAGCCACGGCAGGACCAGGUGUCAACCUUGUUGCCAGCAGCACCAGUAUAGGGGACAGUGGCACAGCCACGGCAGGACCAGGUGUCAACCUUGUUGCCAGCAGCACCAGUAUAGGGGACAGUGGCACAGCCACGGCAGGAUCAGGUGUCAACCUUGUUGCCAGCAGCACCAG